rnacentral:lncRNA from 1 species
CUAUCAUAAUGUUCACAAUGCGAAAUAGUAAAGUUCCGUGGUUUACUAUUCUAGUCAAUGUCCAAGUAGUACACUAAGUCAUCAUCUGUCCACAUGUCAUAAUGAAUACUCAAAGUCAAAUCUGAAGAGACCCACCCGAAGGCUGUCUAUGGCCCUGAGACCCACCCGUAGGUUGUCUGGCCGGUGCCGAGCCUAAUGGCCCCGUGGUAGUCAUCAUCCCCACCCUAGGAAUGAGCCCGGCCCACGGCAAUCCACUUCGGCGCCCAAUCCCGCACGGGAAAUAUGAAUCGCGAUGGCUAUCUCCGGAG